AAAGAGCACAUAGUUAUUGUGUUGGGACCCCAUACCUGAAAUUUUCUUAGGGCCCCCAAAUCACUAAAGUUGAGGUCAAAAGUUU